rnacentral:rRNA from 1 species
UACAGAGGGUGCGAGCGUUAAUCGGAAUUACUGGGCGUAAAGCGCACGUAGGCGGCUUUGUAAGUUAGAGGUGAAAGCCCAGGGCUUAACCCUGGAAUUGCCUUUAAGACUGCAUCGCUAGAAUCGUGGAGAGGUGAGUGGAAUUCCGAGUGUAGAGGUGAAAUUCGUAGAUAUUCGGAAGAACACCAGUGGCGAAGGCGACUCACUGGACACGUAUUGACGCUGAGGUGCGAAAGCGUGGGGAGCGAACAGG